rnacentral:lncRNA from 1 species
CAAUACUUGUAUAUCAGCUGUGUCACCAUAAGAAGAUUGCGAUCGACCUUUUCCACCUGGAGAUCGUCGACGACAUCGAUCGCUUCAAUAACUAUCCAUGGGAUUGGAGAUAUUUUGAGGACACCGUACACCUCUUCAUCAGAUCGCACUCAAAGCCCUUGCGGUGUACGUACCUGUUUACAUAAUCAUUAGCAAAAUAUUUGGGCGUACGAGAUUGUCUCCACACUCGGUGCUCGCUUUGCAAAGCACAGUGACACGAUGCCCUCGGAUGCAUCAUUGGCGAGCAUCUCGAGCGGACGAUUGUCCGACUGCGAAACAGUUAUCGGCUUUCCUCGACGAUCCUCAUGUGAGUAUUAUGCACUUUGUAACUUAUAUUGUGAGCUAAUUUAAAAUCUCAUUACGCAAUCAUUAACAGAGUUGAAAACAUGUCAGGUUGAGGUCAUAACUAAGUUGACGCCAUCGAUAGAGGAGGAGGGUCGAGGACUGGUACGGGAGGAGCUUGAAUUUUAUAUAAUUUAUUGAUUAACAUUUUUUAUAAUUAAGUUAAUAAUCUAUAAUGCUAUUUGUGUAGGAGCACGGUCCAGUUGAUAGACGAUUACCUCCGUCGAGAGCAUCACUGUCAUCGAUGGCAUCACCUCUACUGAGGGCAUCACCGCCGCCAAUGUCAUCACCUCCGUCGAUGUGGAGCGACAGUUGAUGGAGAGGGUCGACAAUUUGGAGCGAUGGUUAAUGGGGAGGGUCGACGACUUGUCCUAGGAUGUUACACUGCUACGUGGCCACGUCGUAUCCCUCUAGGAUGAGGUCACAGUGCUCCGAGGUGAUAUUGCGGGUAGGCGAUGGACUGACAGAAAUGGUGAUGGAGAGGGUGGCGAAGAGGGAGGUCACCCACAUUUUUGGACAGACGAUGCAUUAGAAUCAUUUCUAUUAUCUCUGGAACGAGAUUGGGUAGCCCCGAUGGAGACG